CCCUUAGAUGUUCUGGGCCGCACGCGCGCUACACUGAUGCAUUCAACGAGUUUCUUCCUGGUCCGAGAGGAAUGGGUAACCUUUUGAAAGUGCAUCGUGAUAGGGAUAGACUAUUGCAAUUAUUGGUCUUCAACGAGGAAUUCCUAGUAGACGUAGUUCAUCAGACUGCAUCGAUUACGUCCCUGCCCUUUGUACACACCGCCCGUCGCUACUACCGAUUGGAUGGCUUAGUGAGACCCUCGGACCGAUAGGCUGUCGCUGCAGCAAUGUGGCGACUGGCCCGUCUGGGAAGAAGGUCAAACUUGACUGUCUAGAGGAAGUAAAAGUCGUAACA
rnacentral:rRNA from 1 species